CCUACGGGAGGCAGCAGUGAGGAAUAUUGGUCAAUGGGCGCGAGCCUGAACCAGCCAAGUAGCGUGAAGGAAGACUGCCCUACGGGUUGUAAACUUCUUUUGUAAAGGAAUAAAGUGAACCACGUGUGCCUCUUUGUAUGUACUUUAAGAAAAAGGAUCGGCUAACUCCGUGCCAGCAGCCGCGGUAAUACGGAGGAUCCGAGCGUUAUCCGGAUUUAUUGGGUUUAAAGGGAGCGUAGAUGGGUUGUUAAGUCAGUUGUGAAAGUUUGCGGCUUAACCGUAGAAUUGCAAUUGAGACUGGCAGUCUUGAGUACAGUUGAGGUAGGCGGAAUUCGUGGUGUAGCGGUGAAAUGCUUAGAUAUCACGAAGAACUCCGAUUGCGAAGGCAGCUUACUAAACUGUCACUGACAUUGAUGCUCGAAAGUGUGGGUAUCAAACAGGAUUAGAUACCCCAGUAGUC
rnacentral:rRNA from 1 species